CUCUGUCGACGAAGCAUCCUGACGAACAGUGCGGGGUCCUCGUUAUCUUUCCCCACUCGCUUUCCCUUCCUCCUCUUUCCUCAUGCUUCUCGGCCGCCCUGCAAACCACCUCUAACUUGUUACCCGUCAUUGUCUUGAUUUUUUUUUCCUGUUUCAAUUCAUAGAUUUAAUUUAUGGGCAUUUUCUCAAAUUGUUUCAUAUCAAGAUCGUUCACUGCUACCCAAAGAUCUUAGCUUUCGAAGAUUAUUACCGUGUUUGGCUUGGAUUUUGGGACUAUUUACAUGGAGAUUUUCUUUUUUGGCUGAAUACUCUACAUUGAGAGAAAACCGUCUACUUUUUGUCAUAUCCGCUAGAUUUCAGGUACCCAAGUUCCAACUAUCUUCCAAUAGAUGGCUAGUAAGAUCUACUAGGAAAUUUGAAGUCUUCAUCUUGGAUUUUUGCAUUUAUUUUUAUUUGUAUCUAGCUUGUUUUGCUAAGUGAAGCAUAAGCUUUUGAGUUCUCAAAAUCUUAACCAAAGUUUGUGCCUUUAGCAGUUUUCUUGUUCCUCAAGCUUCCAUUUUUUUUUUUUUUCCUAAGCUUGUUCCUCAAGCCUCAAAUCGGCCUGAUUUAGCUGAAUUUUGUUAAUUUUUAUCGUAUCCUUUCUUCGGAUGGUGCGACCUGGUUAGCUGGAUUAAUGAUACUUUGAUUUGAAAUUGGUUCAAUCAGAUAGCAGUGAGAAAAAAAUUUUGGCUAAAAGAGAGAAAUAAUCGCUUUUGGAUAGCAAAGAGUUGCAUAUAAAGCUUAGGUAUGUCUCGUCAUUAGCCGGAAAAUCUGCAAGCAUGGUUAGUAACUCAAGCAAGAUCCAUUUCACGGCUGAUAUGAGCGCCCAUGAGGUGGCGCGUGUGCUGGAUGUGGACUUAGAGUCCGGUGAUGCGACCGUGGUCAGGGAACCUGAGCUUGUUUCUUCUGACUCAAUCAAAGAGAUCGUCAGAUGUCUAUAUGAUAUGCCCCUGGAAAUGGCCAAUUCCAGCCUCAAGUGUAAGGAAGAUAUAUGGAACAAUCAGGAAUUUUUCUCGUUCCUGAAGGAUUACUUUCAAAAUAGUCUUAGGGCAUUGGACUUCUGCACUGCCCUUGAGGACUGCCUGAAGCGCACACGUGAUAACCAGUUGAUAGUUCAGUUGGCAGUUAAGCAUUUUGAGGAAGAAGUGGAAGAGGGGGUUGACGAAGUGAAGUAUGUGAAGACGUUGCAAGAGUUGAGUAAAUUCAAGGAUGCUGAGGACCCAUUUACUGACGAGUUUUCUCGACCUUUUCCAUCAGUUUAUGAGCAGCAUGAAUCGGUGUUGGACAAAUUGCAGCUUCGGAAAGCAAAGCUAGACAAGAAAUUGGAACAUGUGAAGACAUGGAGGAUAGUGUUCAAUGUCAUUUUUGGUGUUGUAUUUGUGUCUGUGUUAGUUCUCAUGGUGGUUGCAGCUGCCAUUCAAGCUCCGGCUUGGGCAACGGCAUUGACGGGUGCAUUGUCUGUUCCAAUGGGCUAUCUUGGAAAAUGGUGCAACUCAGUUUUUAAGAGCCAUCGGAGUGCACUGGAAGGAAAAAGGGGAGUAAUCAGCUCAAUGCGAGAUGGCACUCUUACUACAAAGAAGGACAUGGGUAACAUUGAGGCACUUAUUCGUAAACUGCGAAUUGAGACUGAUUCGAUGCUUGAGAAAGCUGAUUUUGCUCUUGGUGAAGAGGAGGCAGUCACGCUUGUGAUAGAUGAGAUCCAAAAGAAGCUAGAAAUGUUUAUGAAUACUGCUCAGAAUCUAAGGGCUAAUGCUGAUAGGUGUAGAGGCAAUAGUGUGAGUUGGAGGAAGUUGGUUUUGCAGUCGAUGUUCAGACGCGCGUGACUGAGAAAACCUUUGGCAUGUGGUCUGAGAUAACAACUUGUCGUGCUGGUAUUUGUCUGUGUGAAUUUCAUAAAAGAUGCUCAUUUGCCCCUUUUAUGCUUCAGAGCUUCUAAAAGAAAUCUACAAAACAUCAUCGAUUAUUCAGCUCUGAAGUUGACUGUUGCUCGGUCAGUUUGAAGGGGCGAAACACUGAUAUGUCAGUAUUAUAAUUAGGAAGAAAACCUAUAGAUAAUGACACCUUUAAAUUGGAGUGACCGUCUUUGACAUUUGAAGGGAAACUACAAAGUUUACAUAGCAGCAAGAGUAAUGCGCGCGUUUGGUGAUUUGCUGAACACGGUAAAGCAGAAGCAAUCAGACUUGACUGCCAUAAUAGUUUUCCUAGUUGCCCUGCGAUGGUUUCUUCUAUUCUUUUCCCUGCAAUUUGUUUUGGGCUACGGCCAUGCGUCCAUCUCCCGGAGGCAGCUUAGGUGCUUAACAAGGUCAUGUAAUUUCCUCUAUUUUCAGCAUCCAUUUGUGAUAGAUUAUGAGAUUUCACCAUCCGCUCUGCUACUUUGCAUCUUUCUAAACUUGAUAGCGUUUUUGAUGUAUAAAAUCUCAUGCGUGUUGGGCUAA